UACGUAGGAGGCGAGCGUUGUCCGGAUUUACUGGGCGUAAAGGGUGCGCAGGCGGUGGCCCGCGUGGGCGGUGAAAGCUCCUGGCUCAACUGGGAGAGGGCCGUCCAGACGGGGUCACUUGAGGGGCGGAGAGGGGGGUGGAAUUCCACGUGUAGCAGUGAAAUGCGUAGAGAUGUGGAGGAACACCGAUGGCGAAGGCAGCCCCCUGGGUCAACACUGACGCUCAUGCACGAAAGCGUGGGGAGCAAACAGG
rnacentral:rRNA from 1 species